CCCCCCAGCAGUGAAUGGGUACCAGGUAUUAAUCGGGGGUUGUGUCCUGUCUCCUGGGGUCUGUUCCCUUCUGUCUCUCUCCGGCAUAUGACCACAUAUGUUGCGCCGACUAAACCAAACUUUCCAACUUUUUCCUGUCUCCUGGGGUCUGUUCCCUUCUCCUAUAAUUCCUUCCCCUUCUGUCUCUCUCCGGCAUAUGACCACAGAUGUUGCGCCGACUAAACAAAACUAUACAACUUUUCGGAUAUAAUGGACAAGGUCAGAGGGUCAGACAUCCACGGGGACCGACUGAGAAUAGUUUUUUAAUCAACCACAAUAGCAUCUGCUGGCCACCUGCCCCUCCUCCCAUAUCUGCUGCCCCAUCCUUCGGUAUGUGGAGUCUUUUAAAUCCACUCGAUGAAACAUUUUCCUUCGUGUGUUCCCAUUCAAAUGAAGUCGUACAUAUUUACACCACAGCAAAGUCUUAUGCAUCAAUCCAGGACGUCAGUGUUAUGGAGAAUAGCCAGGUGUGUGUGACUGCUGGUGAUAAUAUGGGUGGGCGGUAUUAAGUUAGGUUGAUCAAAAACGUUCAACUAAUGUCAAGAGGUGUUUCCUGGCUUACCUUUGUGUUCAGUCAAAUUAUUGCAACAAACGCCGGAACAAUUAUAUAUCAUUUGAAAGCUUACAAGUUGUUGUUUUUGUGUGGUAUAAUGACAAAUGAAGAAAUGGAACUUAUAUAUGCAUGAAAAAAUAAAACUUGAAUGAAAAUUUUGAGGGA